GACGAACGCUGGCGGCGUGCUUAACACAUGCAAGUCGAACGGCAAGGCCCUGCUUUUGUGGGGUGCUCGAGUGGCGAACGGGUGAGUAACACGUGAGUAACCUGCCCUUGACUUUGGGAUAACUUCAGGAAACUGGGGCUACUACCGGAUAGGAGCCCCUGCUGCAUGGAGGGGGUUGGAACGUUUCGGCGGUCGGGGAUGGACGCGCGGCUUAUCAGCUUGUUGGUUGGGUAGUGGCUGACCAAGGCUUUGACGGGUAGCCGGCCUGAGAGGGUGGACGGGCACAAUGGGCCUGAGAGAGGGCCCAGACUCGUACGGGAGGCAGCAGUGGGGAGUAUGGCACAAUGGGCGGAAGCCUGAUGCAGCAGCGCCGCGUGCGGGAUGACGGUCUGCGGGUUGUAAACCGCUUUCGCCUGUGACGAAGCGUGAGUGACGGUAAUGGGUAAAGAAGCACCGGCUAACUACGUG
rnacentral:rRNA from 1 species